CUCGAAGGGUUCAGGGGAUCUCGUAGUCGAGCAGUCUCGACUAGAGCUUUCUUACUUGUUUUAUUCUGUUUAUUAUUGGACUUUUCUCUUUGGGAGUUCUGUGACCUUCAGACAAAAUUGGGAGAGUGACAAAUGUUGGCGUGGGUUGAUGAAAAAUGAUGAAGAUAAAACUCGUCUAAGAGGUUUUACUGGUGGGUAGUAUCAUUAGAUAAAGCUCGAAGAUAUACGCGUUAUUUAUAUAUGAACUGAACUUAUGUAUAUGUAUCUAUAUAGACAUGUAUAUGUGCGUAUAUAUUGUAUAUUCAUAUGUGAAAGUAUGUAUGAGAAUUCGCAAAUGUUCAUAUCAUAUUCAUAUACCCAAUUUUAUUAGACAAAUUGAAACUUCAUAUCUUUUCGCACUAUGGCUACAUUUUAAACAAACUGCAAGACUUGGUAAUCCAAAAUAUAGAAUUAUAUUGAAUGUCGUGGAAACACAUUUCGAUUUCUAUGAAUACACUCAAAUACAUAAACGCUUUUUCAAUAGGCCUUGCCUUAACACGCAUAAACUUGCCUCAGGGCUCUAAAAUAUUUCAGUUUCAAACUACACCUGGAGUCGAUAGGUUUGUCUUAAUUUCUGAUAAAUCGCAACCAAACUUAGUCCUUUAGGUGUGAGCCAUCAUGUGCUGCCAAAGCCGCUACUACCGGGAGACACCCUGUGUCCAGUGCUGCCUAGUCGAUUGCAGCUACUGCUGCUAUCGAACACAAUGCGCGGGUCCCUGUGGCCCCUGCAGGACUGCGGCGCCUUGCUGCUGCGGAGCUGUCGGCGAUCUCAACUACAAAUACUCCUUCUUUGGACUGCAUUUACUCUAGGCGGAAAUCGAUGUAAUUCCUUUGUCUCCCCUCCUAGCAGCGGCAGCAGCAGCACUUGACUCAUCGACCUUGACCUUAGACUAACUGCGACUCCCGAAAUUUGUUCUGCAAAAUUAUCAGUUGAAAAUAUAUGUCAAAACAUCCAGCCCAGUCGGUAUUGCUCGUCUAGGAGCUGCUCUGAGCGCUUUAAACAGCA